AACGAACGCUGGCGGCAUGCCUAACACAUGCAAGUCGAACGAGACCUUCGGGUCUAGUGGCGCACGGGUGCGUAACGCGUGGGAACCUGCCCUUAGGUUCGGAAUAACUCCCCGAAAGGGGUGCUAAUACCGGAUAAUGUCUUCCGACCAAAGAUUUAUCGCCUUUGGAUGGGCCCGCGUUGGAUUAGCUGGUUGGUAGGGUAAAAGCCUACCAAGGCGACGAUCCAUAGCUGGUCUGAGAGGAUGAUCAGCCAGACUGGAACUGAGACACGGCCCAGACCCCUACGGGAGGCAGCAGUGGGGAAUAUUGGACAAUGGGCGAAAGCCUGACCCAGCAAUGCCGGGUGAGUGAUGAAGGCCUUAGGGUUGUAAAGCCCUUUUACCCGGGAUGAUAAUGACAGUACCGGGAGAAUAAGCUCCGGCUAACUCCGUG
rnacentral:rRNA from 1 species